CCUACGGGAGGCAGCAGUGGGGAAUAUUGCACAAUGGGGGAAACCCUGAUGCAGCGACGCCGCGUGAGUGAAGAAGUAUUUCGGUAUGUAAAGCUCUAUCAGCAGGGAAGAAAAUGACGGUACCUGACCAAGAAGCCCCGGCUAACUACGUGCCAGCAGCCGCGGUAAUACGUAGGGGGCAAGCGUUAUCCGGAUUUACUGGGUGUAAAGGGAGCGUAGACGGCUGAGCAAGUCAGAAGUGAAAGCCCGGGGCUCAACCCCGGCCCGCCGUUGAAACUGGCAGUCUCGAGUUGGAGAGAAGUAUG
rnacentral:rRNA from 1 species